rnacentral:rRNA from 1 species
AUUGAACGCUGGCGGCAGGCCUAACACAUGCAAGUCGAACGCAGUGGGGACGGGUGAGUAACACGUGGGUAACCUCCCAUCAGAGGGGAUAACACUUGGACACAGGUGCUAAACCGAUACUGAUGGAUGGACCCGCGGUCCAUUAGCUAGUUGGUGAGUUAACGGCUCACCAAGGCCACGAUGCAUAGCCGACCUGAGAGGGUGAGCGGCAACACUGGGACUGAGAAACGGCCAAGACUCCUACGGGAGGCAGCAGUAGGGAAUAUUCGGAAAUGGACGAAAGUCUGACCGAGCAACGCCGCGUGAGUGAAGAAGGUUUUCGGAGCGUAAAACUCUGGUGUUAGAGAAGCGGUAUCUAACCAGAAAGCCACGGCUAACUACGUGCCAGCAGCCGCGGUAAUAC